rnacentral:rRNA from 1 species
GUAGGUGGCAAGCGUUGUCCGGAAUUAUUGGGCGUAAAGCGCGCGCAGGCGGGUCCUUUAGGGUCUGAUGUGAAAGCCCACGGGCUCAACCGUGGAGGGUCAUUGGAAACUGGGGGACUUGAGUACAGAAGAGGAAAGCGGAAUUCCAAGUGUAGCGGUGAAAUGCGUAGAGAUUUGGAGGAACACCAGUGGCGAAGGCGGCUUUCUGGUCUGUAACUGACGCUGAGGCGCGAAAGCGUGGGGAGCAAACAGGAUUAGAUACCCUGGUAGUCCACGCCGUAAACGAUGAGUGCUAAGUGUUAGGGGGUUUCCGCCCCUUAGUGCUGCAGCUAACGCAUUAAGCACUCCGCCUGGGGAGUACGGCCGCAAAGGCUG